rnacentral:rRNA from 1 species
AUGGCGGCCCGCCCAAACCGCAGUCCGCGCCUCGACCACCUCUCCCGCGUCCUCGCCUCCGACCACCCGCCCCCGCCGGCGGCCGCCGUGCACGCGCGCCUCAUCCGCGCGCACGGCGACACCCCUCCCCCCGUCAUCCGCUCGCUCCUCAACCAUGCCAUCCGCCGCCUGUCCAAGCCGCGCCCCCACGCCGCGCUGCGCCUGCUCCUCCUCAUGCCGCGCCUGCCCGUCUCCCCCGACCACUUCACCGUCCCCUUCGCGCUCAACGCCGCCGCGUCCCUCGGCCUCCUCCGGCUCGGCGCGUCCCUGCACUCCGUCGCGCUCCGCCUCGCGCUCGCCCCCACCUGCCUCCCCGUCGCCAACGCCCUCGUCGCCCUCUACGCCAAGUGCGACGACCUCCCCGCCGCGCACGCCGCGCUCGCCGACAUCCCGGUGCCCGACGCCGUCUCGUUCAACUCUCUCCUCUGCACGCACGCCCGCCUCGCCUCCGUGCCCGCCGCCGAGUCGCUCUUCACCUCCAUGCCCUCCAGAACCCAGGUCUCCUGGAACGCCAUGGUGGUCGUCUACGUCAAUGCCGGUGACUUCGCCUCUGCUCACCGGGUGUUUGAUGAAAUGCCUACGAGGGAUUCCUCUUCCUGGUCUGUGUUGAUUAUUGGAUACUGCAAAAGCGGGUCAAUGCAGAGCGCCCGGGAGCUGUUCGAUAAAAUGCCAGGGAAGAAUCUUGUGACAUGGACAGCAAUGAUAAAUGGGUAUGCUCAAUGUGGGCGGCCUAAGGAGGCACUAGCAUUGUUUAGGGAACUGGAGGCUGCUGGGAUUGAGCCAGAUGCAGCCACCAUGGUCGGAGUUAUCUCCUCUGCUUCCCAGAUAGGUAGCACAGCAUUAGCUGGGUGGGUUGGAACCUACGUUGACAGGAAGAGGAUUGAAAGGAAUGAGAAGGUGCUUACAGCACUGGUAGAUAUGCAUGCCAAGUGCGGGAAUGUCGAGCAGGCUCUCAAUGCUUUUAGGGAGAUUGAACAGCCGGAUGCAUACCCUUACACUGCACUUAUUAGUGGGCUGGCGACUCAUGGGCACGCAAAGCUGGCACUUCAAGUGUUUGAACGGAUGCAAGCUCAGGCAGUUAAACCUGAUCCGAUCACUUUCGUCGGUGUGCUUACUGCGUGCAGCCAUGCAGGGCUUGUUGAUAGAGGGUUGGACUAUUGGGAAGCAAUGGUGCAUGAGUAUGGGAUGAACCGUCGGGCAGAUCACUAUGCCUGUGUUGUCGACAUGCUUGGUCGUGCAGGGAGGCUUGAGGAGGCUUUUGAGAUGGUCCAAACAAUGCCGAUGGGCCCCCAUCCAGGUGCUCUUGGCGCCCUGCUGAGUGCGUGCAAGACACACGACAAUGCUGAGAUUGCUGAAGUUGUUGCAAAUAAGCUUUUUGAGUUGGAACCUCGAAAUACUGGGAACUAUAUACUGCUGUCGAGUAUAUAUGCUGGGAGAGGACAAUGGGAGGAGGCAGAAAGAGUUCGGUCGCUGAUGAAAACAAAAUUACCUUUCAAACAGCCAGGGUCUAGUUGGUUUUAG